AGCAGCCGCGGUAAUUCCAGCUCCAAUAGCGUAUAUUAAAGUUGUUGCAGUUAAAAAGCUCGUAGUUGAAUUUCGGAAUCUGUCCGUUGGUCGGGCUUCAUUGUCCGUACUGGUGUGAUGGGUUCUUACCUUCUGAGUAACCAGCAUGCCAUUCAUUUGGUGCGUUGGGGAGGCAGGACUAUUACCUUGAAAAAAUUAGAGUGCUCAAAGCAGGCUAGUGCCUGAAUACAUUAGCAUGGAAUAAUAAAAUAGGACGGCAUGGUUCUAUUUUGUUGGUUUCUAGGAUCACCGUAAUGAUUAAUAGGGAUAGUUGGGGGCAUUAGUAUUCAAUUGUCAGAGGUGAAAUUCUUGGAUUUAUUGAAGACUAACUUCUGCGAAAGCAUUUGCCAAGGAUGUUUUCAUUAAUCAAGAACGAAAGUUAGGGGAUCGAAGACGAUCAGAUACCGUCGUAGUCUUAACCAUAAACUAUGCCGACUAGGGAUCGGACGAUGUUAAUUUUUUAANGACUCG
rnacentral:rRNA from 1 species